UAGGGAAUCUUCCACAAUGGACGCAAGUCUGAUGGAGCAACGCCGCGUGAGUGAAGAAGGUUUCGGACCGUAAAGCUCUGUUGUUGGUGAAGAAGGAUAGAGGUAGUAACUGGCCUUUAUUUGACGGUAAUCAACCAGAAAGUCACGGCUAACUACGUGCCAGCAGCCGCGGUAAUCGUAGGUGGCAAGCGUUGUCCGGAUUUAUUGGGCG
rnacentral:rRNA from 1 species